UUAAGUUCAGCGGGUAUUCCUACCUGAUCCGAGGUCAAACUCAUGAAAGUCGGGGGUUUUACGGCAUGGCCGCGCCGCUCUCCAGUGCGAGGUGUGCUACUACGCAAGGGAGGCUGCAGCGAGACCGCCACUGUAUUUAGGGGUCGGCGCGCCCCGGAGGGCUUGCCGGUCCCCAACACCGCAGCCCGGAUGGGCGCGAG
rnacentral:misc_RNA from 1 species